rnacentral:rRNA from 1 species
AUGCAUCAGUACCUCAUCGACAGCAUCCGCGCAAGACUGGCAGGCUGGAAGGGUUGGCUAAUGUCGAUCGUGGGCCGACGAGUACUGGUUUGGUGCGUGCUCUCCGCACUACCGGCCUUCACUCUUCCAGUUCUGCGCGCCCCGAAGAAAUUUCACAAGGAGGUGGACAAAGCAAGAUGCAGGUUCCUCUGGGCCCAGGAUGAGGAAAUCUCCGGCGGGAAGUGCAAGAUCAACUAG